CAUGAAAUGGAGGGUAAGAUUCAAAAUGGAGUCUCCUUAGCUACCACCGCUCCCCACACAGCACCUCCUCCAAAGCUGGGUAAACAGAGGGCCCAUGGUCCUGGUCCCAAAAGAGUCUGGGGUCUCUUCUUCUCAACCUCAACAUUCUUUCCGCUCAGCCACACACUUGGCCAGGUGCACUGUCACUGUCUUCACGUUGGUGGGAGCAUCACAAUAGGAACAUGGACACUAAGUCACCUCACUUCCUGACACGAUUUCAUUCUGGCAUUUCACCUCAUUGUAAAUCCUGGGUCCAGGAGCCCAUGUGGCACUGUCCCGACUGUCCUGUCACCCUGUCUCCAGCUCUUACACAUCAUGACAUCUGCAGAGGCAAGCUCACCCAAAACAUCAGGCCCGUGCUACUCUGUCAUUUCUCUGGCACUUGCUGUCUCACAGAACUUAUACAGGCUCUGCAGGUCACAGGAUGGGGUCCCCAUUGGCUAAAUGACAUUGUAUAAGGGAGACAGUGAACACAGCCACUCCGCCUUACUAGUUUGGAAAUCGGUCAACCAAGAGCUUGGCAGAGGUCUGCACAGUAAGCACGGUGCAGGCAGGGAUUCCUCACACUCCAGUGGAGACCCUGGGGCAGGACUUCCAGGAUAACAAGAGCAGGUGCACCUUUUCUAUCUUUGACUCCUCAAUGGAGCUGAAAUCCCAGGUGCAGCCCCAGGAUGAGCGUCUCCAGGACCACUUGGUGCCUCCUGCGUUCUCUGAUGAAGAGCCCCAGGCUCCAGCCCACGCUGAUGUCCCACCUGCAGAGCUCGUGCCAACUGCAACUGCAGCUCCCUCACCAGUUCUGACCCCACAACAAGAGCCAGGACCUGAAACCCCUUCUCCACCAGCUGCAGAGCUGCAACUCCUGGUGGCUCCACAGCAAGUGCUAUCUCUUGAGCUCUACUUGGGGUCAACCCUUGACCCAUACCUGGAAUUCCUCUCCCUUAUAGAUUUAGUUAUUAUUAUAUUUAUUGUUACUCUUAUUUUCCAGAGACAGGUCAAUGACAG
rnacentral:lncRNA from 1 species